CUAGAUUAGAGUUUGAUCCUGGCUCAGAGCGAACGCUGGCGGCAGGCCUAACACAUGCAAGUCGAACGGACCCUUCGGGGUUAGUGGCGGACGGGUGAGUAACACGUGGGAACGUGCCUUUAGGUUCGGAAUAGCUCCUGGAAACGGGUGGUAAUGCCGAAUGUGCCCUUCGGGGGAAAGAUUUAUCGCCUUUAGAGCGGCCCGCGUCUGAUUAGCUAGUUGGUGGGGUAAUGGCCCACCAAGGCUACGAUCAGUAGCUGGUCUGAGAGGAUGACCAGCCACAUUGGGACUGAGACACGGCCCAAACUCCUACGGGAGGCAGCAGUGGGGAAUCUUGCGCAAUGGGCGAAAGCCUGACGCAGCCAUGCCGCGUGUAUGAUGAAGGUCUUAGGAUUGUAAAAUACUUCCACCGGUGAAGAUAAUGACUGUAGCCGGAGAAGAAGCCCCGGCUAACUUCGUGCCAGCAGCCGCGGUAAUACGAAGGGGGCUAGCGUUGCUCGGAAUUACUGGGCGUAAAGGGAGCGUAGGCGGACAUUUAAGUCAGAGGUGAAAUCCCGGAGCUUAACUUCGGAACUGCCUUUGAUACUGGAUGUCUUGAGUGUGAGAGAGGUAUGUGGAACUCCGAGUGUAGAGGUGAAAUUCGUAGAUAUUCGGAAGAACACCAGUGGCGAAGGCGACAUACUGGCUCAUUACUGACGCUGAGGCUCGAAAGCGUGGGGAGCAACAGGAUUAGAUACCCUGGUAGUCCACGCCGUAAACGAUGAUUGCUAGUUGUCGGGAAGCUUGCUUCUCGGUGACGCAGCUAACGCAUUAACAAUCCGCCUGGGGGAGUACGGUCCAAGAUUAAAACUCAAAAGGAAUUUGACGGGGGCCCC
rnacentral:rRNA from 1 species